GACGAACGCUGGCGGCGUGCUUAACACAUGCAAGUCGAACGGGCCUUGUCCCCUUUUUUUUGGGGGUGGGGUUAGUGGCGAACGGGUGAGUAACACGUGAGUAACCUGCCCCUCACUUCUGGAUAACCGCUUGAAAGGGUGGCUAAUACGGGGUGUUCUGGCCUGCUCGCAUGGGUGGGUUUGGAAAGAUUCGACCGGUUUUGGUUGUUUUGGUGGGGGAUGGGCUCGCGGCCUAUCAGCUUGUUGGUGGGGUGAUGGCCUGCCAAGGCUUUGACGGGUAGCCGGCCUGGGGGGUUGGCGGGCCACACGGGGACUGGGACACGGCCAGACUCCUACGGGAGGCAGCAGUGGGGAAUAUUGCACAAUGGGCGCAAGCCUGAUGCAGCGACGCCGCGUGAGGGAUGGAGGCCUUCGGGUUGUGAACCUCUUUCGCCAGUGAAGAAGGUCCUGCUCUUUGUGGUGGGGUUGACGGUAGCUGGGUUAAUGAAGCGCCGGCUAACUACGUG
rnacentral:rRNA from 1 species